GUUACAACUGCCAACAUUACCUGCUUCACUGGGCCCUGCCUCUCAACUCCUGUUGGAGUCUGAGCUAUAGGCAGUGCCUCAGCUCUGGUCCUUGAUAUUUACUUGAAGGUUAAGAACUCUUGAGGGCUGCAGGUGUCGAUUAACUUUAUCUCAGUGCUAAGUUCAUAAGGAUAGUUGUUGUCAUCAUUGCUUAGUCCUCAGCCGACCUAUUUGAUUUUGUUUGAUUUUAACCUGUCGUGUGUUUGGGGUCACCUGCACAGUCUCUGGCUCUAUCUCUUUCACGACACGUGUCAUCAUGGGAGUACCUGUCGUCCCUUCUUGUCAUCCACAGACUGGAUUGGGUAGUUCAGAAACUGAACAGGAACUACAACAGCAGCUGGAGGAGAGUAAGGAGAAGUUUUAUGAACUCCAAGGACGUUUCCUUGUGUCUGAAGCUACUGUCUAUGCCAUGGCUAACGAGCUUCAAAAACACAAUUGUCGGAAGUUCAAAGACAUCGUUGAGUCUGUUCUGGGUGAGAAGCUGCUGUACAGGGAAACAAGGCUGACACAGAAGCUCAGGCUGGCCCAGAAUUUGAGGGAAUGCAGUUUCCAAUUUCAAGAGCAAGACCAGAAGCUGGCCCUGUUUCAGCAGAAAUUACAACAGGGGAGAGAUGCCGCGUUUCUACUGUGUCAGCAUCUCAAGGACCUCUUCACCUGGGAUCACCUUCAUAGCAGCCAGGGUCACGGCUUCCGUGAGCUACUGAUUGAAGCUGAAGGCUGGCAGAGGACCUUGUAUAAAUGCUUAGCUCAGGUAAGGCAUGCACAGGCCUUGAUUACCCAGAGGAACUCCAAGGUCCCCAGCUCACAGGAUCUUUGUAGUGUGCCCCCACCUUUUUGAAAUUUUUUUUUUGUUAACCAGGUCUUCU
rnacentral:lncRNA from 1 species